AUUUUUAUUCUGCAUGGCUGCUGGAAACAUCGUGUCACAUCUUUGAUUAAUUUCAUCUGAAAAUAAACAACCACAGAUCGCUCCAUCCAUUCCAUGGCUGAAGCAUACAUUUUCAUUUAAUCUGAACAGAUAUCCCAGAAAGAUGAAGCUGAGGAAGAGCUGCAGAGUAACCACCAUGGCACUCUUCAUCUUCAGGGACAACUCAAGCCUCCUACAUCAGCGUCGAGACAUCGGGAUAAUCAUUGAUGGUGUGGAAGUCCUGAAUGAGUUGCCUUCUGUGGCAGCUGGAGUGGCAAUGGUCUUUGGACUCUGUUAUGCUCUUAAAAUGGAAUAUCCACGAGGAUUCAGGUUCACCUUUGAGGCUCUUCAAAAGAUUAUGAUGGAGCUUGACUUUAACAAGAUGACCUCUAAGAUUCGCAAACUUAAUUGUGAACUUAACACUGCACAGUAGUGUGUUUGCAUGCAUGUGUGGAUGUGUAUGUGCACAUGCACAUGCAUGUGCAUGUGUGCUUGGUUAUUUUCUUGGUUGGCCUGCAGUGGUAUUCUACAUUCAAAA
ensembl:lncRNA